AAUCUGUCCUGUUGUUGUUGUCUUCACUGUAUUCUUGCUGCCUAUCACUGCGUAGAGGAUCGGGGAAUCUGAUUGGUGGUCUCAAGUCUCUGUGGGGUGGUGCAUCUCUGGGCCAGCCUCGAGGCGGAGAUCUAUUAUAGCCACCGUUUGUAAUCCUUCGAGGAGGAGAACGAUCCAACGGAGCAGCACGCUGAUGUGGCGGAAAUGUGGGGCCGAGGUAUCCCCUCCCGGAUGAAGAGGCGUAACGGGGCCUGUUGCAGUUGUUGCAGUGGUCCCGCCUUGCGAAAUUCAAAUUUUUACACCUGAGAGAUUGCACAAACUAUAUAUCACAUAUAAACAAACACAUGGGAGUUGACGACAUAUAUCAUAUAAAUUGUGAAUCUAAAAGCACAUUUUCCAUAGGCAUAUAAUAUACACGUGACAGAGAAAAAAACUAUGCUGACUGAAUGAUGGCGAAGCAGAUUAUAGGAAUGUAGAACUUCAAACAUUAAGCAACAGAAAGCAAAAGUUUUUAUUUGACAAAAUUUCUUUGGACUGCCAUAAUGCAAUUUUAUUCAUCACGAAUUCAUCUUCCACAAUCCAUUGGACUACUAAAACGAUCAUUCAAGAGAUUAGACGUUAUUGGGCCCUUUGGCCCAAAUGGAAAUUCAAAUUCUCCUCUCGUAACUCAAAUUUUGCUGCCAAAAUUUGGCUAAGUGGGCAUUUUCUGUUAGUAGAGUUGGGUUCACCCCCACCCACCCACCCCCCAAAUGAUCUUCAUAUUUCAUGUUUUUGUGAUGGGGGUUCCCCUAUUUUAGAUUUUUUUGCAACAGUCACUAAGGUAUUUGAUUUUACAGAUCCAAAAAAAAAAGAAAAAAAAACCCAUAAGUUUUAGUAUCUAAACAAUGUUUCCAGUUUGAAGCAUAAUAUGAAAUAAACUAAUACAUAGGAGCAAGUCUUAAGCAAUGUUAAAGGAUAACAGAUACUCACGAGGGGUCUGAGCAUAUCCAAUCUCCUUCUCUUGGCUGCACAUUAGGAUUAUUUCGAGGCAAGCCCUCGUCUCUGAAUGAAACAGGCCCACGUGAAGAGUGAUGAUGACCUCUAUCAGAGAACUUGCCACGACCAAAAGGGGGUGAGUGAUCACGAAAUCUACCAGGUUCUCUCCCACUGCCAAAUCCACGACUCCUUGAUGAUGUACCAAUAGAGGGUUCAAAACCAGGACUAAAUCGAUGACGAUUUGCAUCCCUACGUCGCAAAGGGGAAACCGAACCUGCGCGCAUUCUAUAUCCUGAAAAGAACCAGUGAAGCCCAAUACAGUAAACACCCAAUCACAAGUAGAGGUCACCAAGAACAGUGUCCAACAGAAGCCAAUUUAUGCAACCCGAGAAAUGCCAAGUACAAAUUUAAAUUACGACAAUAAACAGUAACCCUUGUUGAAGCAUCUCUUCAUCAAGAACGAACAUAGUCUACUGUACUUACCCACACCUAAUGUCAGAAUUCAAGAUCUUUGGGUACAACAAACCACUUACUAGAUUUGGUUAGCAGCCAUCACACGUUAAAAAUUGUUUUUCCCUACAUAUCUUGCAUAAUAUAAACUGACUAAUCAUUAACGAAAAUUGGCGGGCAACCCAGUUCUCGGAAAAUGCGCUUAGUAUUUUGGAUGCAAAAUUUGUUCAUUGUUCCAACUGCUCGUAGAAGUCUCCGAGUUCAAAGGUGCUUGUCCAAAUGACAUGACUGAUGAUAUCAAAGUUCCUGUGGCACCACACUGAUGUUUGACCAUGUGGUCCUUCGAGAAGAAAAAAAACAAAUAUCCCACAAGCAGUUAGUUUAUAAAUGUUCAUAAGAGUCCAUGCAAUACCACCCAUUUACUAUUACACAGCAGCAAACCAGGCCACCACGCAUCCGUUCCUCACCAGCAGUGAACUUGUUGUAACAUGAUUUACAAAAUCCCAAGUUCAACGAUAUGACAUGAUAUAAAAGUUCAAGUUUUAGUCUGCUCCCGUGACCUUUUCUGAUACCAGAACCCCCAAUCAACUCCCAAAUAACAAAGAACUAUUUAGUGGUUUUAACUCCAAACUCAUCAGAUGUUAACCAGCUUUUCUGGUGCACUUGCAUUCCUCACCCUUAUGGCUGAGCAUAUAUUUCUCACCAGUGAACCCAACAACCCUCAGGUGUGAUGUUAAUUUAACCCAGAUCCCUACCACCACUCUUCACAUCUCCUUGGGCACUGCUUUCAUGAACAAGUCACCACAGUACAGAUAUUGUAAACGGGUUAAAGUGAUCAUGCUCAUCAGUCUACUGUGGCAUGACCCAUCACAUUCAGCAGAACCAUCAGAACUUCACAAACACGUAUCCCAUGGCUAGAAAACGAAAUGAGUCAUUACUUCAAUAAUCUUCUAUCCAUCGAAGUUGUUUUCCACAUAAAACAAUCUUAAUUCUUAAAAACCAAAACCCGUUCCCAACGUGCCUUCCUCAAAACCCAAAUUCUUGCACCAAGCAAUAUUCAUAGCUGUAGAAAACAACAGCAAAAUUCAUUCACCAUUCGACAGUCCAUAAGCGUCAUUGCUUGACAUACAACACAAGGUAAUUGCGGAAAGGGUGGAUAAUAAUAAUAAAGAAAAAAUCUAAGAUCCAGCUCAUGGACACGGCCUAAGAUAACUAAGGUAUGUAAAGAAUAAGGUCAUGAAAUCAAGAGUGAACCUAUACUGCAAAAAGAACAGGGUAAACUGAUUGCAAAUAUGAGUCACGGGUUCUUUGGGACAAAACUUCCUCUCUACCUAUUUAAGAAUUAAAGAAAGAAACAUCUCUUUCCCUGCAAUGGUGCAGAGAUUUUCAAGCAUUCCCCAUUUCCAAGCCAUGGUAACAUAUAAUAUUUUGUCAGGUAUCAUUUCUUAUUACUGGACACGAGCACAAACUGCAAUAUUUUGGGACGCAAAAAAAUGAAGGUUUAAAAUAAUAAACAUUCCAAGUAAUUUUGAAUUUUUCUGUCCAAAUAUUCAUCAAAUUUUCUUAUGCAAGGCCUCUGAACUAGCUGAGAAAUAUUACAAUAAAUCAGUACAACAAUAUAUACCCCACAGAAGAUUGUAGGUUGGCAAUGCUUUCUCCAAAGGGAGAAAAUUUUGUCCAAAAAGAGCUUUCAAAUCAAGCAGUUGUGAUUUGAAAUAUAGAAACUGACCACAAUAAUUAACAAUAGUGGUAGUCAAAGUUUGUUUUCAAUCUUAAAGAAGAAAAGGACUUGUAUGGACACCACAUGUGAGGUGAAACACCAUAUAAUCUGAUAGUGGUAAAGUUUGUAAGAACAAUUUCACAGCUACAAUUAAAUCCGGUUCCAAGCCAACAAAUUAUCAGUAUAAUAUUCACACAUACCAGUCAACAAUCAAUAUUCUCAGCCUAGUCUAGAUCCAAAUACACAUUAAGAUACUACGAAAACAUGGAAACUGAAUAAAAAAUUGUGAUUAUCUACAACAUCUAGACAUAUUUGACUUGCUUGUUUAGACAAAGUUCUAAAAUACAAUAUAAGAUCAUAAAAGUAGUCUAGCUAGCAUAAGCAGGUAACGGACUUACCAACUCUAGUUAUACUCAAAAAAACCACAAUACCAAUGAUCAUUUCAUUGCACCACGAGUUCAUAGGAGUAUAUGUAAUUGAAACUUUAAUUUUAAUGUUGAAUUGUUAAAAUGAAAUGUUCGACAAUCUUAUGAUUCUACAAGCACUUCACUCAGUCACUGAAUCAUUAGAUCUAAGUCGAGCAAAAUCACAUUCUCUGCCAAGUUUCAUUCACUGUCGAUCAAACCAAAGUGUCGAAAUUCAAAAUAAAUUUUGACACCCGAAGCAAAUGCCACACUACUGCUCAUCUUAAGAGCUAUCUUGCCAUUCAGAAACUAGCAAUUUUUCUUGUAAAAUUCCAAACUAUACAAUCGUUGGUACUUGUGUAUCGGCACAUAAAUUACUAAGUGCAAUAACUAAUCAAACUCCAGAAUAACUAUCUAAACAACUGGACCAAAAAAAAAAGGUACAAUUGAAAGCUAGGUUUAGGAAUCCGAAAAUCAUCUAGCUAAAAAGGGGAAGCAUGAGUAAAACUGAAAUGAAAACAAAGUACCGUACCGUGGCUCUCGUAUCGAUCGGAGCGGGAGUAUGGAGGCGGAUCUCGGCGAACCUCGCCAGGUUCGUAAUCGCUGCCAGUACCGCCACCGCCACCGCCACCUCCGCCACCGCUGGUUUCGGCGGGACGUAUGACGAGGCUGCUCAACAAAGGCUGGUGCGGCGUCGUUUGAUUCUUCUCUCGCGAACUCAUUCCUCUCUCAGAGCACAUGAGCUGGAAUAUUCUCUGCCAACGAAACGACGAAUUGCUUCAAAUGAAGAACCCUAAAUAAUGGGACUACGAAUAACGGGAUUUUGGUGCAGAGCUGGUUGGAAGUUUAAUUACACUUAACUCCCGGAGAUUAGAUGUAAUUACAUCCAGAUCCCUAUUAUAUAAGCAAUUAUGAUUUCUGCAUCCGUGUAAUCAAGUUUGACUAUUUAGUAUUUACCACCUAAACUAAUUUACUUGACCCUUUUUUUUUUUUUCAUUUUUACCAUGAAAUAUUGAGUAAAUUAUAUUAUCAACAACCCCUAAUGUGAGGCUCUAAUCACAUAUUGACACCCCCUCAUAUUUAAAAUGUUACAAAAUUCUACCUCAAUGUGUUUUUUCCAAUUGAAUUUAAAAUUAUAUUAUCCUCCAUUGAGGUAUAAUCACUUAAUUAUAAACCCCUCAUAUUUUAAAAUAUUACACAAACUUUUCUCAUGAUAUUAAUUUUUCUAUAUAUUUUUCCAUUUUUUUAAUUCUCGUAUCGAAUUUUGUUAAGGUGUUAGCUAAUAUAAAACUUAAAGUAUAAGUUUGGGAUGAGAUUUUGAGAAUUUGAAAUAUUAUGGAUUGAAAAUUUGGGUUUUGGGUUUUUGGUCUGAAAUUCUAAAUCCCGGAUCAUGUUCCAAUUUCUUAUUUUGCGGUUAAUUACACGUUUCACAACAAUUAUCCCACUUCACCGUGUCUUUGUUCAUAUUCUUAAAAUAUAUAAUCGAAUACUAAUUAACUCGAUUCAAUUUCUUUUAUUCAUCAACACUUAUUAACGAAUUUCUUCGUACUGUAGCGACUUAAAUCAGAAACAUGAUGUAAUUUGCUACCAUGAAAGAAAAUUAGAUAAACAUUUUAUCUAAUAACAUUAGAAGGAGGAGACAAGGGUAAACAACAACACGUUUUGUUCGGCAGACAACCGCAGCUAAUUCGAUGCAAGAAAAAAUCACACAUUCUCUCACAAUCUUUAUCACUUAAGCAGAAUGUUAUUGGUAGAUCUGAAUGUUUUCUGCCAACAUUAGCAAAUUCAGCUGCAUUUUCUGCACAAGAAAAUAAAACAAAUAAAUAAUCAUCGUGAGAUCAAUCUUGAAAAGAAAAAAAAUAUCCUAAAGUACAGGAAUUGAGAUAUCGAAAUAGUUAUAUUUUUCGUCGUCUUGAAUAAAAUUCGAAUUUCUAUAGAAGAUGUGCACCAUUUACGCACACAGCCAAAACCAUGAUGAAUGCCACUACCAAUGAAGCUUGUCCCAUGAUCUGCAAUUGAUUUUUGAUUUGUUGUUUGAUUUUCUAUAGAAAAAAAAAAGUUAUAUAUAUGUGCAUAGUGCAUUAUUGAUUUCAUUUACAAGAUGGGAAGUUAAUUAAUUGAAAUAUUCUAGGAAAAUUGUGAAUAGUAAUUUGAAUUUAUAAUUGCAAAUCACAUUUUCAAAUGUUAUAUCAAGAAAAGAACAUUAAAUAUUAAUAACUAUUAUUCAUCAACAUACUAAAAUACACACAUUUAUAUGUGUAUGAUUGGGUAAAGAGUAUCUUAUUCCAUAUACACUCCAUUAAAUAUAAAAUCUAGUCGAUGUAUAUUAUCAUUUAUACAUUGUGUUAAUCAUGGCCAUCGAUGAAAUAACAUUAAAUUACGAAAUAAAAGUCUCAUAUUUGAGUAAUUGCAACUAACUCAUCAACUAUAAAUCUUCUCAUACGUCCAUUCUUAUCGUGUUAAUUUUAACAGAAUCUUCUAGUUUGUAUUCGUUUUAUGCAAAAAUGCAGUUUCGGAUGAACUACAAUUGAAUAUUUACAAGUCAAGAGACACAUCUCAUGAUCAUAUGUUAUUUCAAAAUGUGGAGCUGAAGAGGGUAAAAUGGAUACACACUGGAGAAUAUUCUACAUAAUCUAGAACAUUCCAUAAAAAUAUAUGCAAAUGUUAUAAAAAUUGAGGUCACAAAAAUAUUAAAAAAGAAAUAAAUUUACAAUUAAAAAAAAAAAAAAAAAAAGAGAUUGCGGGGGUAUUAUUGUAAAUUCGACCCGGAAGUUUUGUAUCUAUCCAUCUCAGUACGGAAACUACAUUCCGUUAUAUAAACUGAAACCGCCACUCUCUCUCUCUCUCUCUCCUCAAAAAAAGUGUGAAGAGGGGGGGAAAAAGGGGGGGAAACACCAUUUUCAAUUUUCUCUGCAGCAGAUACAGAAAUCAGAGUUCUUCAUCCGUCAAUUAAACACGCACGAACACACACACGCACAAACACACACAUUCUGUGUGAUUUUUGCAACUGGUAGUGAACAUGUCUUCGCCGCUAAAGCCACACGAGCGUAAGUUCCCGAUCAAAGACGAGAGGCGCGUGCGGAAAUUCUGCACAAUCAGUGAUAUGAGCGUUUAUCAAUCGGUCGUUAUCACUGAUGAAGAUUGUUUGCAAUCGGCCGAGGUAUUUUCAGUUUCAAUUCAGUUCAAUUUUCUCCGUUUCAAUUUGCUCCGACGGAAUAUAUAUAUUUGUUUACUGGAUUUUUUAUUUCGAUCGUUUUUAAUUAGGGCGUAAUUAAUUAUAUGGAAACUGCGCGAUUAUGCAUUUCCGAGUUGGUUAUGAUAUGAGAUGCGUGAUUUGAUGAAUAAAUGUUCCGUUUGUAGAUUCUGAUUUCUACUGGUCAAGUAAUAUCAUGGAAGACUAAAGGGGGGGAAGAGCUGCUUUUUGUCAGUGAAAAGGUAUUGUUCAAUUAAAUACAGUGUUAAUUGAUCACCUGAGAUUAAUCUGAAUUUUAUGUUGGUGCUUAUAAUGUAAUAUCAUUACUUCACUAUCAAUUGGUAUCUGGAUUUAAUACAGCAGUAAUCUUGUGAGGCCGUGAAAAAACGUAUAAUUGCGAGAUGUUCGUCUGAUGGUUUUGUUAUUUAUGAUCCACGUUUAAUUCCCGAAUUUAUGAUUGCCAUUACCAGAAUAAGCAGCAUCUGUAUAUAUUUUCCGAAUUUAUGAUUACCAUUCCUCUGUGUUUCUUUAGCAUCCUCGCAUGUAUGUUAAUUGAAGUGUUGUUGGAUUUUCUGUCGUUGUUGAAUCGAGUAUCUUAACUUGGAUAUUCGAUAAUUUACUUUCAAUCGAAUCAUCAAUGGUGUUGUAUUCUUUAGUAAUUUGAUCUUAACAAAAAUAUUUUUCAGAUUAAUUGGAAACACGAUCAACCAAUUCGCGGAGGCAUCCCAAUUUGCUUUCCGAAGGUAUACUGCUUACUCAUCCUUGCAAAUAUACUUUUCCUCUCAACUCCAUUCUAUUUCCCUUGCGUUUUAUUCGAUUUGAUUAUUUUCAAAGUAAAUUAAUUGAUGUUCUAAUUCAUAUCAGUUUUUGAACAAUGGAAAUAUCGAGAACCCAUUUAAGGCGGCUUGGCGUAUUGACACAUCCGUCCCUAAACACAACGACAAGGCAUCUCUUAAUUUGAUUCUGGAGCCAAGUCCCGCCGACUUGUUAAACUGGCCUCAUAAGUAGACGAUUGUUUUCUCCCUCUCUCUCUCUCUUUUUUUUUUUUUUUUCUCCUUUGCUGGUAGAGCAUUCUAAAUUGUAUUAAAUCGCAAUAUAUCUUUUGUUUUCUUCGCAGAUUUGAGUUCCGUAUGAGAUAUCAGGCGGCAGUUGUCGGAUAUCUGUUGAUGGCAGCUCGUAUAAGAAACACCGAUGAUAAGCCUUUUACAUUCCAAUUUUGCUAUCAAAACUACUUACCUGCCUCAGAUAUCAGGUAUUACUAAUGAGAUUGAUGCUGUUUAAUUUCCUUUAUUAUUGCAAUAGUUCUAAUUAAUCUGAACAUAUAUUAAUAUAUGUAUAUAUCUUCGCUUGUUCAGUAACAUUCGGAUUCAAGGAUUGGAUAAACUGGAUUAUCUGGACUAUCAGAAGAACGAGCGAUUUACUGAACAGGAUGCUUCAAUCUCCAUUGACUCUGAAGUGAGUAUAUACAUAUAUAGAUAGAUAGAUAGAUAGAUAGAUAGAUAGAUAGAUAGAUAGAUAAAUAAUAUAAAAAUGCUGAUUAUACCUGAAUUUAUUAUGUUUGCGUUAUCUUAAUUAAUCUUGCAUUUCGUGUAGGUGGACAAGGUGUAUAUCAACGCACGAGGUGGAAUGAAUAGGAUCGUUGCCAUAAAAACUACAGUAGGGCAAAAUUAUUCCGUUCGGGGAUGUGCUAGUCUUCCUGAUAUUGGUAAGGUUUAUAUAUACUUUAUAGUAUCGUAUUUUUCUAUGCAUGCAACGAGUUAGUUAUUUUAAUGAAAACGUGCGUAUGUAUUUAAUUUAAUUUUCAUUUUUUGAUAGUGAUGUGGAAUCCAUGGACUGAGAAGGCAAAGACAAUAAGUGAUUUGGGAGAUGGAGAGUAUAGGGAAAUGCUGUGUGUGGGGCCCGCUGCAGUUGUUGAUCCGGUGACGUUGAAUCCCGGCGAGGAGUGGACCGGGAGACAGAGUAUUUGCAUUGAUGAUUAGACCAACAGCAUGCUGAGUAUGAAUAUAUCAUCAGUUUCUCUAAAGUACUCUUUUCUGCCUUAGCCUAUACAUACAUACAUAUAUACAUGCAUUGAAUUUGAGGUCGUCGUGAUUUUCAAUUAGUUGAAUAAAUACCUAAACCAGCUUCCUAUUGAAAGACUUAUAAAAUUUUAAUGUUCCUUGUUACCGUAUAUAUUUGUCGAAUUUGUUAAAAAAAAAUAUCAAUAACCCUAACUUUUAUUAGUUUAAAACCUCAUAUAUUAUUUAGUAAUAACAUCUGAAAAAAAAAUUCAACUAGGAGGUCUUGGAUGACAACAGCAUGUUUUGUUAGGUUGACAACCACAGCUGAGCUUGUGUGAGAAGAAUUCACACAUUCUCUCGCAAUCUUUAUCGUUAGUGCAGUACGAUGGUAUUGGCUCGUUAUUUCUUCUACCUAUACUCACCGCACAUUCCCCUGCAUUUUCUGCACACCAAAAAUAAAAUUAAGAAAAAAAAAUACAGAGAUCUUCAACUUUUUUCUUUUCUCUUUAUAACACUAGUAUUUAAUUUUUUAGAACAACUAAGAAUAAAUAUAUAUAUAUAUAUAUAUAUAUAUAUAUAUAUAUAUAUAUAUAUAUAUAUAUAUAUAUAUAUAUAUAUUGAAAAAAGAAAUAAUAGAGAGAAUGUACCGUUCAUGCCCAAAACCAAAAUCAUGGCAAGUACCACUAAAAAUGAAACUUGUUUCAUGACUGACAAAUGAUUUUGAAUUUGCUCUUUGAAUUUCUUUGUCUCAUGUAUAUAUAUUUUUUUCUUUAUACUUAUAGAUGGAAAGUUACGUUAUUUUAUUGCAAUAAUAAUUUUUUUUGCCAAAACUAUUGUUGAACCAAUUUGGGAUUGUUGUAAAAUAAUGAAUUGUACAAUCACAAGUCAAGAUAGUCAAAAUCGACAUUUUAAGUAAAAUCUUAAGCUUGAAUUUGGAUUGUAAAUAUCGUAGGAUUUUUCAUAUCUUGUAAAAUUUAUUAUAGCAUGUCAAAAUUUUAGUCAAUACUGAACAGUGUAAUCGUAAGUCGAUUAAGACAAGUCAAACUCGAGAUUUUUAAGUAAAAUCGAAAUGGGAUGUAAAAUCGUAAUCUUAAAAUUGGAUGGCAAAUAUUGUAGUAUGUCCAUAUCUUGUAAAUUUAUAGCAUGCCCAAUGUUUUAUACGUCUCAAUACAUAUGCUGAAUUUUUACUGUUGAUCUACACGCCAAUGUGGGUGCGCGUUUGUGUAGUAAAAAUCUACCCGUUGUAUCAUAGUAUACAACUAUACAUAUAAAACAUUUCCUAAAAUAAAUAAAACAUGUACAUAAUAUCUUAACUUGGUGUAAUUAGUAACUAAAAAGUGAAAUAUUAAGGGGAAAAAAAUGUGCAAUAAAUAAUUUAAACCCGAAAUACAUCAUUUAGAUAACGGUAAUAAAGUUUCGAAGCGAGAGGCUAACCGAACAAUUCCAUUGGUUAGCAGCAUCAAAACAACACACAAAUACAUACAUAGAUACAUACACAAUUUUAAAGACAGUAACAAGAAGUAAGUCCAGCUUAAUUUAUAAUAGCUACUAAAAUUAAAUCAAAAAACCGAAAUUCGCUAAGCAACACAACCGCAGCAGACGACUCCCCUGCUAAAGAAACCAAAAAGGAAAAAAAAAACAAAAAAAACACCCGACAUAAAUCAGAUAAUCGAUUAUAGGAAAGAUCAAUUAUUUCUUAUACGAAAUCGAAUAUUUAUUCAUCAAGACUCACACAAUGGAGCAGCCACUACUUCUAUGUCGUUUCUUCUUCGCCAUUUCCUUUCUCCGAGGAGGUUGAAGAACAACCUUAAUUGCAGUAUCGAAAACAGCUUUCACAUUCUGGAUAACAAAAGUUCGAUAAUAUUAGAUUUCUUGACAAAAAAGAGGAUUUAAAUAUGAUCGUAUCGAACGGAAUUUGUACAAUGUGGGACCCACCUGCUGAGUCUUUGAGCUGCAUUCUAUGUAAGCUGCUGCACCAAUUUGUUUCCUCAACUCCUCCCCCUAUAAGUUUAGUGUCAAAUAAAUUGCUAAAAUGAAUCAAAUUUGAAUAUAUUUCGAAAAUAAAAAACAACGAGACACACUUGGGCAGUUGUGAUGAUAUUAGAUCCCAUAUGAUCAGCUAGGUAUCCUCUGUCUUCUCGAAGAUCUGUAACGGACAAAACAACAAAAUAUUAAAAAAAAUGUUUUUUCUUGAAUCAAAAUUUGAUUUAGAUUGCUUCAAGCAAAUACCUAAUUUAGUCCCGACGAGCACAAUUGGAACGUCGGGCGCAAACCGGCGAAGUUCCGGCAUCCACUGAAACAAUAAUCCAAUCAGAAUGCUGAUAAUUUUCUUAGGGCAACGUGAAUAAAAGUACACUAGAUGCAAAAGAUUGAAUUUUUUUUCACUUCAAAACAAAUGGUUUUGAUCAUCAUAAGAUUUUUUUUCAUUUAAUAAAAUUAAAAUAAAAAAUUAAAAAAGUUACCUUCUUGAGGACAUUUUCAUAGCUAGCUCUACUGAUUAAAGAGAAAGCCAAAACAAAUAUGUCUGCACCUCUGUAACUCAGUGGCCUCAACCUGCUGUAGUCUUCUUGACCUUUUUGAAAUAAGAGAUGCAAAUGAAAUUAGUAACUCAAUAAAUUAAAAUUAGUAGCAGUGUGUGUGUGUGUGUUUGUGUGAGAGAGAGAGAGAGGGAUAUUUAAGAAUAAAUAUGUAAUAUUCAUACCAGCAGUAUCCCACAGUCCUAAGUUGACAAUGUUGCCAUCUACAGACACAUUAGCACUGAAAUUGUCAAACACUGUGGGGAUGUAAUCCUGCACCCACAGAUGAAGCCCACAUCAUGAGAGAGAGAGAGAGAGAGAGAGCAAAAGAAAACCCUAAAUUUCAAGAAAAUCCAAUUCUUGAAAAUCCCACAAAAUUAGAAGCUUUAUUGCCAAAUUAAUAUGAUUUUAUUAGAAGAAGAAAAAAAAAAAGAUGCUAGUUUUAAUAUGAGAAGAAAAUGAGAAUAAAAAUUAGGUCAAAUAAAAGAGAGUAGGGGACUUACAGUAGGAAACUUGUUGCUGGUGUAGCAGAUGAGCAUGCAGGUUUUGCCAACAGCUCCAUCUCCAACUGUCACACAUUUGAUGAACUUUGAAGCACUCAUCUUUCCUUUUUUUCCUUUUUUGCCCCUUAAAUUUCCAAGGUAUUACUGUGAAAGCCCUUUUGCUGCAGCACUGUUGGCUGUUGCACUAAUAAAGCUAGGAAAAAGUAAUUGAAGAAAAAGGAGUCUUGAGAGCAAAAAAUGGCUGAAAUGAAGGAAGAAGAGAACAAGGAAGAAAAGGGGUUGGGAUAUUGAAAGAGAGGCCCCUAUUGCAAACUUAAUAUUUUUGCAGUUUCAAGAACGACAUUAAAAAACAAAGCUACAGACACAGACUGCGCAUGUGUCUCUGUGUGUGUGUCUUGUGUGUGAGAGAGAAUAGAGAGAGAGAGAGAGAGAGAGAGUCAAACAAAAGGGUCUUACUGUCACUUUUCAUCCCUCUCACCAAGUUUCAAAAUCCCAACGGAUUUGUUUUUUUUUUUAUUCUUUUUUUGAAAAUGAAGAAAGCUUUUAUUGUGUGAACCAGUUUCCAAACGGUCCCAAAGCCACAUUCAAAAUUUCAACCACUAUUCAAUUUGUUUUGGCAGGUAUUUAUUUACUCCUAUGUCUAAUUAAAGUCUUGUUUCUUUUCAGGUUUUCUGCAUACUUCCUGCAUUAAUUGGAGAUAUGUUAAUAUUAUUAUAUUAAGUAAUUCAUUAAUAGUAAUCCUGCAUACUAGCUGCAAUUAUACUCCUUUCUUUCAACCUACUCAUUUUCAAAAAAAUUAGAUAUGUUACUCAAUAUGUGGAAUCAAUGGCAUGUUCAUGUUUAUGCCCUAAAAAUACUAGAUAAGCUUCGUAAGUUAAAUAAUACAAGUAUACGGUUGCACGGGGAAUUGUCUUUGCGUUUAAGACUCGUCAAUUUCUAUGAAAUCAGAGUAUGUUCAGAAAAUAAAUCUGCAAAAUAAUCAACAAUCUAACAAAGCAACAACAGUUAUUGUGAUAUUCAGUGCAUUACAGAUUACAUCAGUAACGGCGGAGGAAAUACACCAAAACCCCUUUCCUCGUUUAUUUCUCGUAUUUCCGGUUUUAACAUCUACUAGAGAAAGACAGAAUAGCAUAAAAUGAUAAAACCAGACAUUCACCGGUGCAUUUAGAGAGCCUUGAGAAUAUCAUCAGCGCUGGACACAGUGAAUUCCCCACCGGAUUCAAUGUUGGCAGCUUUGACUUUGAGGUCUUCAACCAACAGAGCGAACCUUCUAGAACGAAGGCCAAGUCCCUUUUCGGUGAGGUCAAGUUCAAGCCCAAGUGCUUUAGUGUAAGUUGCAGAGCCAUCAGCCAAGAACUUCACAUGCUUAUUCUCAGGGUAAGUCUUUGCCCAUGCCUUCAUCACAAACGGGUCGUUUACUGCAUUGUAAGAACGAAAUACACAGUGAGUCAACUCUUACAAGAAUAUAAAAUCGUCCAUGUCCAGGCCCCUUAAUGCAAUCAGCAUAUUAAAAAGGGAUCGAAUUUGCUCCCCCCCCCCAGCCCCCCAAAGUUUCCUAAAGGGAAACUUCCUUAAACCAUUUUACGUUUUAGGAAGAUAAGAAAUUUUGCAACAAAACAAACCAAUAUUAGUUUCUUCUGAAACCUUUUCAUUUGAAAAAAAAAAUUGCCGUAAUAGAACAACUUAACUCCACUUUAAAAUUUGAUUAACAACUUGCACAUGUUAGUAUGGAGCCAGAUUCAGCCAUUCACUAUUUCAGGAUGUUUGCAAGAUGUGAAGAAACCUUCAACUUAAAGCAUGGCAUAUUUUUUGUAACCGUAGUUUAGCAUCUUUGUGAAAUAAAUCCAAAGUGCUCCAAGUAGAUUCCACUGGAAAAAGGAUAAACUAUAAUGAAAGUACAAAAUCUAUGGAAAUUACGUAUCAUAUCAAUUUAGUUCGUCGGUAAAGAAAACAGUCAACAUCAAACAUCAACAUAACGGGGAAAAAAGGACUUUGGCCAUCAACAUAACGGGGAAAAAAGGACUUUGGCAACAGCGAGGCGUUAGAUAUCUAAUUCUCGCAAUCAAAAAAAAUUAUAGUCUAUCAAAAUAAGUCAAAUGGGGCAUCGGUCAUCCUGAAAUGGUCAAGGGAAUGGAACAUUACAGAGUCAAUCUAGCCUAAUUAAUUAAUUCUAUACUGUCCUCAACCAGCCCAAUAACGCCGGAGAAAAGAUCAAUCGAAAUGUUGUUAACCUAAAACUGGUUAAUCUUAUAUCAAUUCAUAUGAUACUACACCACACAAGAACAACAAAUUCUUUCCUGAAUAACAUAUCAACAUAAAGCUGAUCUUGAACGGACAAAGCCCAUGCACAAUGCGAUUCUCGAAAACGCAACAUUUGCACACAAAUCAUGAUUACAUUGAUAUCCCAAAACUGAUUUCAAUUAUAUCAUCAAAUAACUAAUCGCUCAAAAUUAUGUCUACACCGAAAGUGGAUUGCGAGUUGCUGAAUGCGAGUUUAAUGAUGCAACAAAGCAAAAGCGCGGCUUCAAAGUUAUAAUACCAAACAGAGGAAUCACAUACGAAACACCCAAUUUCACAGUGCUUCCAAAAUCACAAUCUCUUAAAAAACACAACAAUACGACAUCAAACAAAGUGAAAUCGGCAAUAAGUUUCUCAAAUUUCAUAAUAUUGUCUACCAUUUCCAACACAAUAAGAAUAACAAUCAAUAAAGCAACACAAAACAGAAACAUACCACUGAUGCACAAGAUCUCAUCAACACCCUUCGAUUUCAGCUCAUCCGCCUUCUCAAUGAACCCAGGCACGUGCUUCAUGCUAUUACAAACAAAAAAAAAAUUAACAAAUUCAACAACUCCAAAAAUUCGUAAAAAUGAAAACAACAAAUUCGAACGUUCGUCGGUGACUGGAGGUAACAAAAUUACCUGCAGGUGGGGGUAAAUGCGCCGGGAACGGCGAAGAGGAUGACCUUCUUACCGGCGGCGAGCGAGUGAAGUGUGACGCUCUGGAGUUGAUCCUGUUCGUCGAAAUAAGCUAGGGUUCCUUCGGGAAUGACGUCACCAACUGCGAUCGGAGCCAUUGAUUCUUCCGUCUGUUUUGAAGUGGUUGAAAAAUGAUUACGGUUUAAGCGGUGCCACAGUUUUUGGCAGGGGUUUUAUUUGCACAGUGGACGUGAAGUUUCCCCACGAGCUGGAUUUAAGAAAAUUUUUGGCGUCCGGGUAGGGGUAUAAUUGAAAUUUCGGGUGAAGCGACUUUUUUUUAGUUUGCCCCUUAUAGGUUCUACAGUUUGUCACCUUUGCCACAUUAAACUACGAAGGUGUGCCCUUUGGUCCUCCAAUUAAUAAACACUACAAUUUUGGGUCAAAUUGGAUUUUUUAUACCAUUUUUUUUCUUAGAUUAAUUUAUAAUAAAACAAUUGAGAAUGAAAUUAAAGUCAAUGAAAUAAGUACACUGAAUUAUUUAAAGUUGAUGUAAAGUUAAAGGAGUAGAAUAACUUAAUGGACAUUUACUUUGAAAUUAAAGGAUUGUCUGGUUAAGUGAAAAUGCAGUAAAUCAUCAAUAAAUUAAUACUCGAUAAAUAAUAUUUCUUCUAGUCCCGAUACGAUAAAAACCUACUAAAUUAUUAGUUCGAUAAUUUAAUAUUUUGCUAGUUUCGAUUGUAUUAAUUUAUAGAGGUUUAACUGUAAUAAAAUAUUAAAAUUCAAUAAAUUGAAAAGAGAGAGUAGAUUAGAAAACAAAUGAAUUACUUUUAGAUGGGAUAUAAAAAUUUGUAUUUCAUGCUGGGUGGAAGUGAUACAAAUUUAAACUUAAGGGGGCAGUUUGAAAUUCAUCAAUUUUAAUAUGCAUUAUUGUAGGGCCUUGACUCGGCUCUAGCACUCCUACCCUACCAUAUAAAAGAAGCCGGCCAGCCGCCUAAAUCCUAUGAUCCGCUGACUCCGACCCGAAAAAUUCCAAUUUCGAAAUUUUGAUUUUGGUAUUUUUUUAACGGAAUUCGAAUUCAUUUUUCUUUUUCGAAAAAAUCGUAAUUUUCUAAAAGUGCUAAUUUUUAUUCGAUCCGUAGUCGAACUCGAAUAAUUUACAACUUACUUUAUGCAAUAUAAUUUUCAAAUGUGCAAGUCCGUUUUCACCUAUUCCUGCAUGAUAUAAAAAAAAAUUGUUGGUUUUUAUUACACCACAAAUAUGUAAGUUCAUUGUAAAUAAUGGCUGUAGAAAUUCGUUGCAAUCUAGAUAGCGCGGACAUUGAAACGACGAUACAGGAAAACGGGAAAACAGCAUAUCCGAAAAUUAGGGAUACAGAAACUUGAGGGAAAAGUAGAAAUAUUAGAAAUAUAAGGAUAUAUUUAUAAAUAUGCUAUCGAAAAGAGUAAGUACGAACCAUAUAUAUAUAUAUAUAUAUAUAUAUAAUCUUUUUCUUUAUAUUUCUAUACAAAUAUAUUCAAAAUUAAUAUUAUUAUCAAUUAUCAAUUUAUUGCUGAUCAAAAACUUAUGUAAUUAAUUAGAGAAGUAACAAAAAUAUCUAGAAAUUUGUUUCCAAACACGUUCUAACUUUUAAGAAGUUGCAAAAUGGCUUAUAACGUGUUCGAUAGGUGUCUUCGAGUAUCGGACACGAAACGUGUCCAAAACGUGGAAACGUUAAUAAAUAGAAGUUUUCGCACUACAUAGAUUACAAUGCAUCAAUCAUUUUUCUACAUAUAUACAUAUUUCUUGAAUAUCCUAUAUUAAUUAAUAUAUUUAUUCCAAGCCCCCAAAAAAUGUAAAACAUGAUCAAUUGCAGUCUCCUUCAGCUGAAACCCCAUGUCUGCAGUAAAAUCCAUGUAAGGUCACAUAAAUUCAUUUAAAUUUUUAAUCAAUUCUUUUAACUCUAUAAUAAUUAAAUACAAAAUAUAAAAAUACCUGAAUUCUACCGUCAGAAGUCCCGACAACUAAAAAAUCUUCGUUCGUAUCAAUAGCCAUGCAAAGAAUUCGACUCGUCGGGAUAAUUUGAAGCGUUUCGACUCUACUAAGCUUUUUCUUGCACCAAAUUUCGAUAACCCCACUUUUACACCCCAAGUAUAUUAAUUCCGAACUUACACUCAUAGUCCGUAUAUCCAAAGUCGAAGCCAACGACCCCACGAUACUAUAGUUUGAAGUACUCCAUAUCUAAUUAUAUAACACCACACCAUUUUAUUAAUUUUCGAGUAUUAAUAUCAAAUUUCCAAAAAAAAAAAAAAGAUUACCUUAACAUUUGAUCCAUCGAACGAAGGGCCGGCUCCGUAAAUUAAUCCGUCAUAAACUUGCAAUGCGUAAAUAGGAUAAACUUUCCCGAUUAAUUUCUUCGAGCCACUCUGUAUAUUCCCAAGUGUUCCUGUGGCCAAAUCUAUUUCCUGCAAAAAGCAAAGAAAUAUUAAUAAUACAUAUUUUUUUUUUCGUUUUUAAUCAUUACAAUAAUCUUAAUCAAAUCGAAGCCUAAUAAUUAAUAAACAUCGUUUUCAUUUACCUGAAUGCUAUUAUCGUUGCAUCCACAGUAGAGUUUUCCUUGUACGAGAGCCAAACAUUUGGCGUACUUGUGUUGAUUUAGUACUUUAGACGAUCCAUUCCACGAAUGCACCUGAAAUUAAUUACCUUAGUUAAUCAUCGUUGUACGUUUUUUUUUUCGAUUUUCAAGAAUUAAAAAAAAAAAAAAAAAAACCGGGGGGUGGGGUAGGGGUCUAAUUUCCUUGCCUUAACACCAGCUCCUUGAGGAAUAUAGCAUGCGAUGCUAUUAGCAACUACGAGGGUAUUUAUUUGAUCCUUCGUUUCCUGAACUUGUUCGCAGUAUAUUCCUUCCUCGGUUAUUGCCCAUACCUGUCAAAAUAAACAUACGAAGCUCGAAAAUCCAAAUAUAUAUAUAUAUAUAUAUAUAUAUAUAUAUAUAUAUAUAUAUAUAUAUACAAAUAUGUAUGUAUUGAUGUGUGUGUAUGUGUGUAUAUAUCAUAAUCGUACCCUCACAGUUUUAUCGAGUGAACCACUAUAGAGUUUCUCCGACGAAUGAACGACAGCCAAGCUCGUAACGUGUUUCGUGUGUUCGUGUAUUUCUUGGAUAAGAUUUAAUUCGGAGUUUUCGCUCUUCCAGACCUUUAUUGUUCCGUCCGAAUGGCCGGAGAAUAUUUUGCCUUUAAAGCAAGUAACCGUUAAAACUUCUCCAUUGCUACUACAAUCUUCCUGACUUAGUUCUUGAUGAUUCCAUAUAUCCUGCAAAAACACGACGAAUAUUAAUUAGCCAAAAAAUUGUACAUACAGUAGAACCUCGAUAAAUUAAUAAUCUCGAUUAACUAAUAGUUUCUUGCGGUCCCAACUCAGUGAAAACGUGGUAAAUUAUUAACUCGAUAAUUUGAUAAUUCACUAAAUUAAUAGAAUUUUUCUGAUCCUGACUGUAUUAACUUAUAGAGGUUUAACUGUAUAUUAUAUAUAUCUUGUCUUAAAAAAUAAAAAAAAUAAAAAAAAAAUCGAAGAAACUCACAGCACUAUUAUCAUGCUCCGCCGAAAAAACUUUCAGCAUCUCAAAUGCCAUCGUAGACGAUUUCUUAAGCUCCCUUAAUCCUUUCAUAAUAUCUUUCAUGUGACCUCCUAAAUCUUGAAAUCCUUCUGAAAAUUUUCGGUAUAUGAUCAAUUAUUCGCAUUUUAUAUUAAAAAGAUUCAUACAUAUAUAUAUAUAUAUAUAUAUAUAUAUAUAUAUAUAUAUAUAUAUAUAUAUAUAUAUAUAUAUAUAUAUAUAUAUAUAUAUAUAUAUAUAUAUAUAUAUAUAUAUAUAUAUAUACGAGUAAAACUGUUCAACGCCAGCAUGGCGAGGGCUCGAUUUUCGGUGUCUUUAUCGGAUUUAAAAAUCGAGAUGAAAUGCUUGAGCAAGCACACGCGUGCUGCUCCUCUAAUCCCAGUAUCGGGCAGAAUCGAGAGCAUGUACACAAGCCAAGUAGCUGUCAUAAAGCAAAGCGAUUGCAACUCUUCGUAUUUACUUUUCAGUCCCUCCGCGAGCGCCUCAAACACUAGUCCGAAUUCGUGGCUCACGAGAACAAACGCAACUUUUCUUUCCCACUCUUCGGCAUUUCUCUCGUCUUCCUAUACAUUACCACAAUUCAGACAAGAAUUUAAUUCUUUGCGAAAUUUAUUUCAAAAUUAUAAGAGCACAAAUAUAAGCUAAAUUAAUUACCAUGUUGUCUUGAGAUUCGAGGGAUAUGCUGCGUCGGCGUUGAUCUUUUCGCAUGAAGGCUUUGUAGUUUUUAUCGAGGCCCGCUCGUUUGAGAAGAAUGGCUCUCGAUAGAGAUUUGCCUGAAUACGAGAAUCUUCCCUGUAAGGACAAAAUAGUCUCUGCUGCAGUUAUUUGAGCAGAUGGCGAUUCAGUGUUUCUUAGACACGAGAUAAGUGUAUCGAUCGCCUCUUCUCUGUAUAUGCUCAUCUUUCUUGGCUCUUCCUGUAAAAUAUUGUUCAUGAGAGAGAGAGAUAUCAGAGAGAUCAGAGAGAGAGAGAUCACAGAGAGACCAAAGAGAGAGAUCAAAGAGAGAGAUCAGAGAGAGAGAUCCCAGAGAGAGAUCAAAGAGAGAUGUACAAGAAGAUCAAGUUGCAGAAGUAAACCAGAGAGAGAGAGAGAGAGAGAGAGAUGUACAAGAAGAUCAAGCUGCAGAAGUAGACCAGCGACAAUCGGAGACCGUUCGAAAACCGAGUUUUGUUGGUAAACCAAAAGAGUGUGCAUUGUACUAAAAGUGCCCUCAUCUCUCAACACAUGCAAGAUUUGAUCAUUCAAACUCCUCCUGCACAAUAAUUAUUCAUCCAAAUUAAUUACUUCCGAAAAUCGAAAAAAAUAAAUAAAAUAAAACACUAAUGCAAAAUAACCUGUUCAGUUUAACCAGUUCGAAAAGAAAACGAACAAUCUCAAACUUCUGCACAUCAUUCACUCCAACAAACAUCUCCAACAGAAACCCUAAUUCCGAUUUCUCAGCAAUUACAUUCCGACACUUCCCAUCCUCCAAAAUACACCUCAGCAACACGCCCACAGCCGCCACCCUUUCCGUCACGUCACCGCCUUUCAAACUCACCACAACUCCCUCAAUCGCCCCGCUCGAAACAACGCUCCUCACAAUCUCCGACACACGUGCUUCUUCGUCGCAGCCCCGGAGAAUAUUCCCCAACAGAACCAGAGAUGCCGUUUUCGGCCCCACGCACAUCUUCGCCACGCCAUUGUCCUCUGUUUUAGUAACCGUUGCCAAAAGAUAGUCAACCAACUCCAUUUCUAAGAGGAUCUUAGCUGAAGGCUUCAAUAGAUGAACCAACACCACGGCCUCCGUUAGACCUUUCUUGAAAAGCUCGACCACACAUUCGACAUCCGAGUCAACCCUAGUCAACGUCUGGACGACGCUGUCGUCCCUCGACGCCAGCUCGGUCAGGACGAGUACAGUUGCUCUCAGCACAAGCUUAUCCACGGAAUUGAACAACAUCUCGACAAAACCGUUAACCACGGGCGGCUUCGAAAGGAGGGCCUGCAUAAUUUCCGGGCCCACGUUCGAUUCUUUCCAUAGCCUCUCGAUUUUGAGAACGGCGAUCUCGGCCUCCUUCAAGAUUUCGGACGUGCAGAGAUCGGUUAUCGCCAGCUUGAGCUCGGUCACGGCUCCGUCAACCGCGGCUUGGCUUAUGACGCUAUUCGGCGAAACUGCACGCUUCGAUUGGCCGAUUGGAGUAGGCGGGGAGCAGCCUGGGUUCCUGUCGAGCCAGCUGGCGAUGAGGCGUUUGAGCACGUAAUUCGUUUUCGGUAGAUGGAUACUGUGAAGCUUCUGCCGUGUGAUCGGACACGUGGCGUUCCCUCUGUCGAGCCAUUCUUGAAUGGCUCUCCUCUCGUAGGUUUGCCCUGUUUCUAGGGUUACAGGGUCGUCGAAUAUGUGUGUGGUGAUCGGACAUACGAAGUCCUUCGGUGACGGGGUUUUUGCGGCGGCGGCGGCGGCGGCGCCGCCGGAGAUAUUAAUUUCAGGUUCCUCCAUGAAAGAACUGAUACAUCAAGAAAUGAAUUAGGAAUUUAGAACCCUUCAAUAAAUUAAAAAAAUAAAAAAUAAAACCAUUCUUUUUUUUUUUAAUUUUGAUUUACCGGAUCGAUUCUUGUGAGGGAAGAAGAGGUGGGUUUUGUUGUUGUUGUUGUCUGGAUUCGAACAAUGUGGGUUUCUUGAUUUUUUCCUAAAACACACACGUGUGGAAAAAUCUUUGUAAGUAUGUAUUGAUUUUUUUCAUUGUUGAUAUCGAUUUUUACCUUUUGUUUAUUAUCGGCUGAUUCGGAAUCUGAAGAAGAACAGUCUGUCGGAUUGUUUGAUGAUAGAGUAGUUUUCUUCGAUUGUUUUGAGGAUGUCUUUUUCAGUUCAAUUGAUGGUUUAUCUCCUUCUUCAGCCCAUAUUGGCUGCACAGAAGAUGAAUAGAAAAAUAUUAAAAAAAAAUUGGCAGUAAAUUAUUCAGAAUUUGCUGCUUCUAUUUUUCCAUGUUCUUGACAAAAACUGCGUCAUAGUUUUUUCAAAUAAUUGACAUUGUCAAAGCUGGAUUCUUUCAGCAGGAGGGAGAGUGUGACACAAAUGAUUUUUUAAAAAGCAAUAUUAAAAAAAAAUCAAAAAUAAAAAUAAUAAAAAUAAUAAAAAAGAAGAAGAAGAAGGAAGACUGCUGCCAUGGAGUAUGGCCAAAUGACACGUCAGCAAGGGAAAUAGAAUAUUGGGCAAAUUGCACUUCGCCCCCUCAAAAAAUGUUGGUUUUGCACUUUCCCCCCUCAAAAUAGAAAAAUGAGACUCUCCCCCUUAAAAAUAUAUAACUCGGUGCACUUUGCCCCAAAUGUGUAUUUUCGAGCUAUUUCUUGUCGGAUUUGAGUAAGUUGGAAGCGCAAUUUCAUCUUUUAAGGCUUUAAAUGUCAUUUAAUCUUUUUUCACCCUACAUUACAAUGAUUAAGAAGAACAAAGAACAAAUUUUGUUGAAUUUGGAAGAAAAUUUCGUCUAACUUGGAAGCGAAUAUCAUCAAUUUGGGAAGAUAAUUUUUUUAAUUUGGGAACCCUACUUAACUCUGAAAGGAGGAUUCUCAAGAGAAAGAUGUAAAAUGACAUAUAAACAAUUCAUUCGGUGAGAAAUAAACCGGGAAUACACAUUUGGGGCAAAGUGCACCAAGUUAUAUAUUUUUAAGGGGGAUAGUCUCAUUUUUCUAUUUUGAGGGGGGAAAGUGCAAAACUGGCAUUUUUUGAGGGGGCAAACUGCAAUUUGCCCUAGAAUAUUACACAAUUUAUAAAUGGGAAAAUACAAUUUUUGCCCCUCAAGUCUGCACCAAUUUCACAUUUGGUCCCUUAUAUUCAUAAAAAACAUAUUUGGUCCCUCAUGUUUCAAAAUUUCAACACUUUUAGUCAUUUUCGUCAAUUUUCCGUUAAAACUAACGGAAUCAAGAGUGUGCCCAUCACUGCCUUAAAUAACGAACUAACGGUAAAUCGACGAAAAUGACCAAAAGUAUUAAAUUAUUAAAAUAUGAGGGACCAAAUGUAUUUGUUUGAACAUGUAAGACCAAAUAUGAAAUUUAUGCAAACUUGAUGGGCGAAAGCUGUAAUUUCCCAAUUUAUAAAUUCUACCUAAUACUUUAAAUAAUUAAUUAAUACAAUAGUCAAAACAAGGUAAUUUCACAUACCUCCCCUAUACUAUAAAAUUCGUCACCUAUCCCCCUAGAUUACAUGUUAUACCAUUUCUACCACUUUUUUAAAGAAAAGUUUCCCUCUUUUAUUCUUUUACAAACUUAAAUAUUUUCAAUUUAAUAAUAAAAAAAUACUAUAGUAUUUAUAAUUUAUACUCGUUUUGGUUUAAGUUUUACUUGUAUUGACCUCUCUAACAAUAUUUUUCAUCUAAUUGAUAUUUAUUCUAAAAAUAAGUAAAAUAUAAAAUAUAAUAUCAUAAGAAUCAAAGUGAAAAUAUUUUUUAUUACUAUUGAAAAUAAAUAGGAAGAUAUUUAUCUUAAAAAAGGUAUAAUUGGUUCAACAUACAAUUCAGGGAGGUAAGUUAACAGAAGGUAUAAUAUACAUUUUCUGUUAACUCGAUCAACAGUUAGUUAAUUAGAUGGAGAUUUUUGUUAUUACAGAUAGGUGGUGUUUUUGUUGUCAUUUAGCUUAAGUUAAAGGGGUUUUUUCGUAAUUUACGGAGGUAAAAAAAAAAAGCAUAGAAUUUGAAGAAAAUCAAAUAUUACAUUAUACCGUCUGUUUGUGGAUCGAAAUUCAUGGCCGUUAAUCUUGAUCGCCACGUCAUCACUGUAAACAAGCUUAUUAUUAUCAUCACCGGCGCCGGCACGCAGUAUAAUUGUCGGCGGAGCAAUCAUUUGAUCGUCGUUGUUUCUGAGCAGAACAUCCUUAAAAUAGUCGACGAAUAUCCUGCAGUUCUCCUCCAUUAGAACCUCGUACUCCCUCUCCAAACCCUUGAGCGACGAGGCCUGAGCGCCGCUCAUUUUCGACAGCAGCGUCGUCGUCGACGGCGUUAUCGACUCGUCGUAGUCGUGGUCGCUGUCGUAGCCGGAGUUCGGUAUGGAGGAGGACGACAGGAUCUCGGAUCUCUGCUCGUUGUACCGUUCGGUGAUCGGAGAGAAAUGGACGAGGAAUAGUUCCUGGAAGAGAAACGGCGCGAUUUCUUGGCGGGAAAAUGAUGGGUCGGACCGGAAGAUGUCGAGGAGGCUGACGGCGGCGUCGACGGGGCGGCGGCGGAGGUGGUGGACGAGGGAUAGGAGGAACGAGGAGAAGGGGUUGCUGUCUGGGUUGUUAAUGUUAUCGGAGAGGAGGAUUUUUUCGGCGAGGCGGAGGGAGGAUGAUCGGACGGAGGGGCUGGUGGCGGCGGCGGCGGAGAUGGCGGUUUCUAGGGUUUGGGAGGCGAAGCUUAGGGGCUUGACGAGGUUUGUGGGGAGUCUUUGGAGGAAGGUGGUGGAGAGACGGCGGCGGAGGUCCGGCUGGGAUAGGAUUUCCGAUAGGAAGGCGGAGGUGUGGUGGAGGAUUUCGUCGGACGUCGUGGUGGUGCCGGCGGCGGCGGACAUGGCGUCCGCGGUGGCCGGUGGUGGUUCUUUUUGUCUUUUUUCUUUUUCUUUUUCUUUGUUGGUGGGAAUUGAGAUGCAAAUUAUUUCGUUCCUAUAUUCCCAUAUUAAUACAAUUGUUUAAUUUUUGAGUAUUUUAUUUAUAAUAUUAUAAUAUAUGUAUUAUAUAUAUAGUUUAUGUUGACACGUGGAUUCAAUAUUUGGGGCCGGACCUGGUUUAGAUAUUUACAAUACUGCCCUUGUUUGCCGCCCUCGCCGGCCGGCCUUCGCCCAAUUUACAGUACGUCCAAAAUUGUAGAACAACACUAUCCAAAAUUAUUAUGAUUAAAUGAUUAAUGAACAUCAUAAUUAUUAAUUAUUUACCACUUCCAAAAGUCUAAUGAACAUCAAUAUCUUUAAAACAAAUUUAGAGCUCAUCAAAUUAAUUAGGAACAAAUCGUUUGAAUCAGUGAUUUAAAAUCCGGACCGGCACAUCAAACUGAUUAAACCGCAAAUUGUUGUCUUGUCUAGUCUGGUUUUGGUGAUCGAACAGUAAAAUUGGAGUCCAGCUGAUAUUCAGAUUCUUUUGCUAAAAAUUGUGCCUUUUAUUAUUAAAAAAUAUUAUAAAAACAAAUAAAAUGGCUAAAACACACUUUUAUUUUUGCCUAGUUGAAAAAAAAAAAAAAAUCAACAAAAUUGAAAUUAGAAAUUUAAUUAUAGUUCAUGUAAUACUUGAAGUCAUUUUUUGUGAUAUGCGUGUCGAUAUGUUGUUUGUCUAAAACGAAUAUAGCCUUGACUUACAUUUCAAUUGGAGGAGAAUAAUGAAUUAUGAUGCGAAAUAAAUUAUGUUUUAUAAUAUAUAAAUUAAAUAUCAUGAUUAUGAAGAAAAAAAAAAUGAAAAACCCCGGGUCAACGUAACCUUGACCUAAUUGUAUGUCAGAGUCAAUAUCUGGUCCGGUUUUAAAACAUUGAUUUGAAUCAUUGAAUGUCAAUUGUGCCAAAACAAAAUUAUUAAAGAAUAAAAAAAUGACUAAAAAAAUUUAAAACAAAUGUCGAAACUGGAGAAAGUCCUCUGUUCUUUUUUUUUUUUUUUUUUUUCGUUUUUGUUUUUUUUAUUUAUUAUUAAAUAUUAAUUAGUUAUUAUUAUUAAUAAAAUCGUAAUAAUAAUAAUACUAAUUAGUUGUUAUUAUUAUUAUUAUUUAUUUUCUGUUUAAAAAGGUCCUACUGUUAAAUACUGGGGAUGUUUACAUAUUAGCAGAGGAGCUAACUACGAGAGAGAGAGAGGAGCCGGAGCGAUGGAUGCCGCCGCCGGAGUUUCUGCAGCUACGGUGAAGUCAAUAUUCGUCUAUCCAAUCAAAUCGUGCCGCGGAAUUUCUCUUCCUCAAGCCCCAAUUUCUUCCACCGGUACCGAUCAAUUUUUACCCUCUCUUAAUUUUUUCUUCUUCGGAACCUCUUCUUAAUCUUAAUACGGAUAUAUGUGAAGGAUUUCGCUAUGAUCGAGAAUGGCUAAUCGUGAAUUCGAAAGGCAGGGCAUAUACUCAGAGAGUCGAACCCAAGCUUGCUCUCGUUGCAGUUGAACUGCCAAUUGAAGCAUUUUCUCUCGAUUGGGAACCAAAUCAUCACUCCUAUUUAGGUUUACUUUAUCCCCAAUUUUUUUUUUAAUUUUGGUUUAAUUUGGUUAAUUAGUGCCUAAUUGGGGAAGCUAUAUUUUAUUGUUGAAAUUACAGGCUACCGACAUUUCUCUGUUUAUUGAUUAGGCAUUGUAGAAAUGAGAAUUUUAUCUCCACAUACUUUCUUGAGAUGAAUUUGCUUUACAUUAUCAUACACUGUUUACAGAUAAUUAUGUGCGUACAAAACGUUUAUUUCGUUUUUUAACGAAAUUGUAAGAAAGGAAUUACAAAAUGCAGUGAUGAUCGUUUCUAUAUUCUUGUAUGUAUGAUCACUAAAUAAACGCAAGUCUGAUAAUUUUUCGGUGUUCGUCUUUAGUGAUAACUGCUCCCGGUAUGGAUGCACUGAAGAUUCCAUUGGCAAAAUCAGUUGAAAUAGUGAACGGUGUCUCGGUAUGGGAAUGGACUGGAUCUGCAGUCGAUGAAGGAGAUCAUGCCGCACAGUGGUUCUCUAAUUAUCUGGGAAAGCCAAGUAGGCUUGUUCGAUUUCAUGAUGGUAUAGUUCGUAAUUAUUCUCUAGUUUUUUCGGGUUUUUUUAAUAAUUUAUAUUGGUGUUGAACGGUAUGUGAUUUUCAUUCGGUUAUUAUGCAGCAUCGGAGGUAAGGAUUGUGGACCCUGAAUACGUGCAUGGAUACAAAGUUAUGUUUUCCGAUGGGUACCCAUUCCUCUUGCUAUCUCAGGUCUCUGUUGAAAUUUUGACAAAUGAUUAGUAUUUGUUUUCGGUACUACCUUAGAUUAUCGAUAAAAAAUAGGGGUGGAAAUUGGAACGGAAUUUCCGAUUUCCGCUCAUUACAAUCCAUUUUUUUCUUAUUUUGGAACAUCCGAAAAUCUGAUUUCCGAUUUUUUCUGAUUUUUUUUGGAUCAGAAUUGGAAUAUAUAUAAGAUUCCAUAUUCCAAUCCGAUUUUAAUAUCUGAAAAUUCCGAUGUUUUUUUCCGAAAAGUAUACUUAUAAAUGUAUAAUAUCAAUAUUAUUAUGUAUUUUAUAUUUAGAGGUGACUAAAAAUUAGAAAAUUUUCAAAUUCCUCCAAUUCUUAUUCGAAUUUUUUUUAUUUUUGAUUUUCGAUCCAUCAAAAACAUAAAUUUCGCAGGGAUCAUUGGAUUCCUUAAACACACUUCUCAAGGAGCCUAUACCAGUCAACCGUUUCAGACCCAAGUUAUCGUCUAUUUCAUAUCUCAAUCUAUUUUUUUUUUGGAUCGAACAAAGUUAAGAAAAAAAAUCUGAUUUUAUCGAUCUAAUUUUACAGUAUCUUGGUCGAGGGAUGUGAACCAUUUAUCGAAGAUUUGUGGACAGAGAUCAAGAUAAGUCAAUCAACAUUCCAAGGUGUAAAAUUAUGCUCUCGUUGCAAGGUAAGCGUGCACUUAUUCAUUUUCCUUGGCACUUUUUUUUUCCCCCAGAAAAUCCCUGAUUGAAAAAUAGCCUCGUGAAAUUGUUAACUGAUCAUAAUUAAUACCAGGUGCCUACAAUUAAUCAAGAAACUACCGAAGCUGGUUCCGAGCCUACCGAUACACUGAUAACCUUCCGUUCGGACAAAGUCUUACGCCCUAACAAGAAACACCAGAAAGGGAAGGUAAUAACAAAAGAUCGUUCGUUCGUAUGUUAAUAUUUUUGUCUCCUUUUAGCAGAUGAUUAGUGAAGAUAUUAACGGUGUUUCGAUUUUCAGGUAUAUUUUGGACAGAACAUGGUGUGUUUGGACUCCAUUAAUGGCGAAGAAGGGAAAAGAAAGAGCAUCAAAUUGGGAGAUUCUGUUUUCGUCCUAAAAUCGGUGACCUCUGCAGCUGAUGCUGCCGUUUAAUAACUACUAUUUUACAACGGUUUCUGGUUUUGCUCUGUAAGUUGACAACACUUUGUAUAAUCAAUCUGUAUAAUUAUAUACUGUAAAAAUAUUUUAUAUUUAGAGACGUGCUAUUUCCACCCUCAAAAUAUCUUAUUUAACCACCAAAUUAAAUAUAUUUCCCAUUUUAUCCAUUUCUUCUUCUUGUACUUAUAUUUUGUACAAAUUUAUAAACCAUCUACCACUAAACUAAUUUUAAAAUAAAUAAAAAUACCGCCCCCCCCCCCCCCCCCACAAUAGAAUUCUCACCCCCUCAACCCGAAGUGAUUAAUACUUUCGUCAGAGAAAAACAUUUUUUGGAGAUCAAAAAGACUAGAAAUUCACGUUUAUUAAGAAAUAAAUUAGGAUUUGCUUGUAUGAAAGGUCCUGAACUUCCUCUAGAAUUGGCAAGUUUGGCUUAAUAUAAUUUCGUUUCCUAAAUGUUUUUACAUAAUUUGUAGUAUCUGAUAUGGAAAUUUACUCCCCCUUGUAAUGACUUGAAUUAAUAAAAAAAAUAUGGAAAUUUAUAUAUUUUGUAAUAAAUAUUUCAUUGCAAAAAAAUAAAAAUUAAAAUUAAAAAAAUUAAAAAAAUAAAAAAAUAAAAUAACAUAGAAAUAACCUAGAACACAUGAAUAUUAAGUGAAUAUAAUGAAGGGCGGUGAAUUAUAAAUGAAGGGGUAUUUAUGACAUUUUAUAAUCUUUGGUGGUAAAUUGAGAUACUUUGGAGGUGGAAAUAACACCACUCUAUAUUUAUGUACACCAAUAAAUAUAUAUGUUACAUAAAUAAGUAUAAUAAGUAAUUUAAUUUAGUGUACGAAAUUACUACGUGAAUAUUUAUAUUUAAUUUGUAAGAAAUAUUUUUUUGUUUUGUCUUAAUUAAUUAAUCUACACUCAAAGUGCAAAUAUUAACAAUAAUAACGAAAAUCAGCGCAAUAAUCCAAUUUCUUAAAACAAAAUAAACAUCAUUACAACUCACGAAUUCGAAUUAACGUGCGAAAUUGAUUCAACAACAUAUAAUAAUAAACCUGAUAAAAAUGCAUAGCAUCAGAAGCAGUCAGCCUUGGAAUUUUUUUAGCAGAUUGACUGCUCAUGAUAUUAUGUCAUCUUUUUUUUUUCAUCUGAAAAAUAAUUAGUCGUCCGCUAAUUUCAAUAUUUAAUUUUAAUUUUUAUCGGAAAUUUGCAGCACCGAAAGCUGAAGCCCAAUAAUCAGCUCCGUUAAUCUCGCUCCCGACGUCGAUCGUGCAAGAUAUCGGAACCAAGCACAGCCCCCUACUCUUCAAAUCUUGCUUCGGUUCUUCAUCGUUGCAUUCCUAAUUAUUAUUAAUAUAAUUAAAUAAAAAAAACAUAAAUAUUAUAACAAGAAACCCAAUGCAUGUAAUUUAAUACAAAUAUUUAAUUUUAUUAAUUACCAGAUCAGAUAUUUCUUUCCUCUUGAUGCAGUUUUCAUUCAGCAGCUACACAAACAAGAUUAUCAAAACAACAUUAAUUACAAUAAAAAUGUCUUACAUAGAUAUAAUGUUGUUUUUUUUCUUAAUUUAUUUAAUUUUAUUUUUAAUUUAAUAAAGAAGCAUAUAUAUAUAUAUAUAUACCUGGCCAGGGUCCUCUGGAAAUAAACAAUUUCUCUCUCCUUGAACAACCUGCAAUUCAGAAAAACAAGAUUUUAUUGCCAAUUAUUGAUAGUUAUAUGUUCACUUUGCACAUGUUUCAUUGUACUUUUUCCUCAGAUAUCCACAUGCAUAUAACACACACACACACACAUGUAUACACAUAUAGACACACAAAAAAAAGUGCUUUAUUCAGGUUUAAUUUUCUUACAGGGGGGUGUUGUUGGCUGACCAAGUUUCUUGAAGAACCACUGCCCAAGUAGGGUUGGCUUAGGGCCUGCAAAGUUCAAGGGGAUAUACAUACAUAUUAUAUACAUGUAUAUAUAUAUAUAUAUAUAUAUAUAUAUAUAUAUAUAUAUAAAUAUGAAGAAUGUAGUAGGGACAAGACUCAUCACUGAAAUAAUUGAAGGUGUUUAAUUUGAUGAUGCAUGCAUGCAUGCAUGCAAUAUAAUGCGUUCUCUCGAAGAAAGAAAAGUCACCUCAAUUUGGUUCUGUAGGAAUUUAAUGUAUCCAAUAGCUUCCAACAGUACAGAAGCUGUGUCAGUCUGCAAUUAAUUAAUUCAAGCAAAUAAAUAAAAAUAAAAAAAAUUAAAAUAAAACAUAUUUUAUUUAAACAAUAUCAAGAAUAUAUAAUUAAUACACAUCUUGCAGGUGUGUGCAUGUGUGUGUGUCAUGUACUUAUAUUCUUUUUUAUGUAACUAAACAAUACUCAAAAAGCAAACCCUAAAAGAUGAACUAAUUUUUUAUUUUUUAAAAAUAGAUCAAGAAUUUCCUUCAUAAUUAAUUAAUUAAUUAAAUGAAAUAAAUUACCUUGCCAAAUGGAGAAACUAGCUGGUGGAGGGCAGUAACUCUGUCACCAAGUUUUUCUUUCCUCACCUGUUUUAAUUAAUUUCUUAGUCCAACAUAUUAAAAUUAAAACUGAUUAAAGAAGAUAAAUUUUUAUUUACCCCAUUUAAUUAAAAAGGAAAAAAAAGAAAAAGAAAAACAAGCAGAUUCAGACAUAGUCAUCAAUCAUGGUUUCUCUUUCUAGUUUAUAGUGUGUGGACUAGAUAAGAGAUGGCCAAAAGAAUCAGCAUGUAAUAAUAUCACGACAAUCAAGAAAGACAAAAAAAGUUUUAAUUAAUUAAUUAUAUAUAUAUUUUUUCAUGAAUAUCAUUAUUCAGUACUCAUGAUGCAAUUGCCUAAUUUAAUUAAUUAAUUAAUUAAUUAAUUAUACCUUGAUGGUAGAGUGUGCUGAAGAAGCAGCUGGUUGAGUAAUUCUAGCUUUCUUGGCUGCUGCCCCACCUGUUGUUGCAGUGCUAUUGCACUAUUUAAAAAAAAAACAAAUUAAAUUAAAAUAAUUAAUAAACAUGAUUAAGGAAUUAUAUUCUUGGCUGUGGAAAUCAUCAAAAUUGAAAACCCUUUUCAGAUCUGUAAUUAUUACACUAAUAAGUAAUUAAUUUACAAUUACUAUAUUGUAUUUAUUUCUCAAAACCCUAGUUGUUAAAGAAAGAUAGAUACAAAGUGUGUGUAUAUAUAUAUAUAUAUGUACCUCAGAUGGAGGAGAGAAAUCCAGGAGAUUGUUGGCAGUGGUGAUACAUGACUUUGAAGAUGAAGCAGAAAUAUUCAUUUGUUGAUGAUGAAUAUGAGACCAGCUGCUGCAAUUAUUAUUGUUGUUUGACGGUUUUGCCCCUUGGAAUACUUCUAUGUUAUAAUUAGUGCCCAUUACAUUAAUAUUAUUUUCUUGCUUUAUAGCAUUAUUAUUUGGAAAUAUUCUGAUGAUUAUUAUUAUUAUUCAGAAAUUGUUGCUCCCAAUUCUCCAUCUUCUUCGCCUGAAUAUGUUCAUCUUCCCCGACCAAUCCUCCUCUGGAAAAAAUAUUUAAAAAAAAAAGAAAUUAAAUAUAUAUAUAUAGAUAUUGCAUGUGCUGUGUGCAUGCAUCAAGAACAAGAGAGAGAAAGUGUACAGGAGAAGUUGGCUCCACGAGUCAGCAUGGAGGCCGUAGUCGUCAUCAUCAUGAUUCCACGAUGAGGGCGGUGCGAACUGAUGAUGAUCAUGGUGGUGGUGGUGGUGCGGCGGCGGGGCGGCGGAGAAGGGGUGGUGGUGGAGAGGGGGUCUUAUGUUGUUGAUGCUCCACCAGGUGGGGCUGCCGGCGGCCACCAUCUGCUGCACCGGCGAGCUCUGCACGCCACCGUGAUUCAUUAUAUAUCUCUGUUGAAAUUAAUUAAAUAAAGGUCGAUAUAUAAUAAAUAUUAUUAUAUAUAUUCAAUAAUGUAUAUAGUCUUCUUCUUCUCUCUUUUUUACUUUGUGUGAUGAAUCUUUCACUUUCACUUUUCCUUUUUUUUUUUCUUUCUUUCAAGUGGUGUUUGUACAAACACUCUUUUUUUUUUCUAGGGUCUCUCUCUCUCUCUCUCUCUCUCUCUCUCUCUACACACUUGAUUAAGUAUCAGAAAAUGUAGAGAGAGAAAGUGUAUGUAUAUAUGAGAGAGGAGAGGAGGAGGACCUUUGUGUUUGUGUCGUCUCCUUCUUUAAUUCCUUUUCUUUAUUAGCUUUCCUUUUCCUUUCUUUCUUCCUUUUUAUGUUUUUCCUUUUCUUUGCUUUUGCUUUUAUCACCAUAUAUUAUUAUUAUUAUUAUAAAGUUGUGGAAAAAAAGGCGGUACCCUAUUUUAUUUUUAAUUUUUUUAUUUUGUAAAUUACGGUAGUUCUUGAGAUAAGGUCAAAUUACGAAAAAAAAACCCCUUAUAUUAGAGUAAUUACAACUUACAACACCCUUAAAAUAUGAAUCUUCUUACACGUCUACAUUUGCGGUGUCAAAUUUAGUAAAAUCUUCUCGAUUAUGUGGAGUACUCUCCAGUUUGUACCCGUUUUACCUCAUUCAAGCUCCACAUUUUGAAGCAAGAUCAUCAUAAGAUGAGUAGUCUCUUGGCUCGUAUAUAUCAGAUUAUGGUGCAUCAGAAACUGCAUUUUUGCGCAAAAUGAGUACAAACUAGUGAACAUCCCACCGAUCUAGAAGAUUCUGUUGAAUUUCGCAUCGUAAGAGAGGACGUGUAAGAAAAUUCAUAGUUAAAGGGUGUGAUUGUAAUUAUUCAAACAUUAGAGAUGUUUUCGUAAUUGGACUUAAAAAUUUAAUUAUAGAAGCUAAAUAGGAUACUUAAAAUGGGACGAGAUGGUAAAACGGGUAAAUAGUUUUUAAGUUUUUUUAACCAUGGUUAGCAUUAUUAACUGACCAACUUGAUUGAUUAUAUGGUCCCGGCCACCUAUUUAAAGAACCCUAUACUUUGAUGACGAAAUCAUGACGACCACAUGACGCAAUAUAUUGAAUCAAAGACCACAAACAAAUCUAACUAAAUCGAAUUAUCUUAAAUAAAUUAAAGACCACUUAAAUUAAUUGUUUUCACAAUUUCUCCAAUACAAUGUCGGAAACAGUUAUGUUCGAAAAAAAAUAUAUUUAGUUGAUUAGUUCCACGAAUAUUAUAUUUUGCUUUUUUAUAUCACUUAUAGUUAUAGGCUUAUAGCCACAUUUUUAAUGCGUAUUUAAUUUUGUUUAUUUAUUUAACUUCCGUGGCCAUCUAUGUAUAGACAUACUUUUGCUCUUGCAUUUGAUGAUUUAUUUAAUUCGAUACUCUUUUUAUUAUUUAUAAGGGUUUUAAGAUAAGCAAUUUUAUAGUUCAAAUUGGAAGUGUAUUGGCAAAUUGUGACAAAAACAUGGUCUUUAAUCUCUUUGUGCGCACACAAACAGUGUCUUAUCCUCACGCGCUGUUCAGCCAUAAAAAGUUAUAGGAAGAAAAAAAGAAUAUAUACCUAUUUGUUUUUUUUUUUACAUUGCUUAGUUGAUAUUUUUUUUAUAUUAUGUUCUAGUUAAACAAAAUUAAAUUUUAUUCUCCACGUAAAUAGAUAUAGCAAUAUAUAUAUAUAUAUAUAUAUAUAUAUAUAUAUAUAUAUAUAUAUAUAUAUAUAUAUAUAUAUAUAUAUAUAUAUAUAUAUAUAUAAAUUAAUUAGAACACCCCACUGUAAAACAGCAGCAGCCCCCUCCCCGUUGUAACUUGUAAUAAGCUUAUCCCCAAAAUUUAACAUUUUAUUUUGGGAUAAUUAGCAAUACCCCCCUCAUCUAGGUAAAUGAGUUAAGAAAAACCCCCCUCCCAAAAAUAAUUAGAGAAAACCCCCUUACCUAAUAUUCUACCCAAAUAUUAUUUAAUAAUUCCCAAACCACCCUUUCUCACUCUUAUCUUUCUCUCUCUCUCUCUCUCCCCUCUUUCUCUCGCACACAUAAAAACACACACACACACACACACACACAAAUUAGUGAGAAAUCUCAACAGGAGAAAGCUCAACAGGAGAGUAAGGAGGAUUCUGCCGCCGCCGCCGCCGCCGCCGCCGCCGCCGUCGUCUCCGCGCACGCGUCAGCUGGAGUGAGAUUUCGAGGACGUGGGAUCGGAGCGCGUUGGGGCUGUCGCGCGUGACGAUAAUUGGGGGCUUGGGCUUGUUCUUGGAUCCCGGAGGACGACCGCGCGGGCGGCGGUUGGCGGAGGGAGUACCCCCGGAGCUGGUGGUAGCGGCGGCGUCGUCGUCCUUGGAAUUAGCAGACGGCUCGUGAUGAAUUUCAAGACGAGAAGAAGGCAACGGCGGCGGCCUCUGCUGCAAGUGGAGGUCCGUCGGUGGUGUGAGAAGCUGAUGAACGUAGCGAGAAGAAUUACCACCGCCGCCGGAGCCUUGCUGAUGUUCGUAACCCGCCAUUUCUAUACAUCAAUCUCUCUCUCUCUCUCUCUCUCUAACUUUCUCUCUCUAGCAAAUAGAAAUGAAAACGAACACAGAAAAUUAAAGUAGUAAUAAAGAAUGAAUAUAAUCAGUUAUAUUCUCUAUUCUGGUGUUGCUUUUGGGAUUAAGUUAAUUUAGGAUUGGGAUUAAAUUAAAUUAAAUUAGUUUUCUUAAUUGGUGGAGCUGAACAUGCUCAAAAUAUGACGGGUUCGGCCAUGGCAGAAGCUCUGGGUGGUGUGGGGACGAUGUGGAGGCCGAUUUUGGGUUUAUUUGUGGCUGAAACCUUAAUCGACUAUGUACAUGUUCAUAGUCGAUUAAGCUAAUCGACUAUGUUCUGGUAUUCGAUUAAGGUUGAUCGACUCCAGUUUUUUUUAUUUUUUUUGGAUUUCUUGUCUAUUGUUUCAAUUGUAUAAAUCAUUUAUAACGUUUGUAUAUUUGUAAUACUUUCUAAAAUAUAGUUGAUUUUGCAUUUUUUCGCAGUUGUAAUAUGUUAUGUUAAGUAGCAGAUUCUUAAUCGACUAUGCUUCAUCAUAGUCGAUUAAUACACCUGAUAUAGACAAAAAAAAUUAAGAAAACAAAAAAAAAAUUAAAUAAUUAAAUAAUUUCCUUAAUCGACUAUGAAGCAUAGUCGAUUAAUGCUUAAUCGACUAUGCUUCAUAGUCGAUUAGCAAAAAGAACGGAAAAAAAAAAAAAAAAAAAAAAAUUUGCUGAGCGUGACCCAGUGAUGAUGUGGCGGUUGGGGACAAAGCUGGAAAGCAUAUUGGCUGAAAAUGGGUGUGGACCUUUUCUCACAUGGACUAAAAUAUUUUGGACCUCCCUCAAUUAAAAAAAAUAAUGAGGGGGUUUCUCAAAGAGCCCCUUUUAUGUUUGUCUUGAGCAAGAAAGUAUACUAGGAAACAAAUUCUACACAAAUUUUCAAGUGGUCAAUAUUUUGGGGCUUGUAAAUUCCAUUACCUUAUACAACAACUACUAAGGAAUUAUCACAAGUACCAAGGAUUUUUUUGUCAUUAUUUAUUUUCACUCAUAACUUAAAUAAUACUACUGCAUAUAAAUAAAUUUAUAGGUAAAUUACGACUAGCCCCUGAGGUAAUGUUAUAUUACGAAAAAACUCAUCUUGUUUGGGUAAUUGCAACCACCUCCCCUCAACUAUGAAUCUUCUUACACGUCCACCCUUAUGGUGUGAAAUCCAUGAAUGUUCUCUAGUUUGUACUCGUUUUGUGCAAAAAUACAGUAUAAGAUGCACCACAAUCUGAUAUUUACAAGCCAAGAGACACAUUUUAUGAUCAUCUUGUUUCUAAAUAUGGAGCCCAAAUGAGGUAAAACGGGUACAAACUGAAGAAUAUUUCACAUAAUUUAGAAAAAAUCACUAAAUUUGACACUAUAAUGAUCGAUAUGUAAGAAGAUUUAUAGUUAAAUGGGGUUGGUUGUAAUUACCCAAACAUAAGGAAUUUUUCGUAAUUUAACCUUAUCUUUUGCAGUUAUGAUUUACACUCAAAUUAUUUAAUCAAUUUAUCUCUUAUAACAUAUGAAUCAUAUCAACCUCCACAUAAUAAUGACAAGCAAAGGAGUUGGAUCUUCCAAAAAAUGUUACAUGCUAUAGAAUAUUACAAGAAGAAUGUUUCACAAUUAAUUUAUUAUUUCUUCCUACAAUUAUUUACUAAUUUAUAUAUUAAUUUUAUAAUUUUUCAAAAAUCUCCUUGAUAACUACAAUUUUAUGGGGCAGCAAACAGACAAAAAUGCCCUUGAAACUAGAGAAUAAUUAAUUUAAUUAUUUAUGUUUCUGGUCCGUACUGCUAAAAUCUUUGUCGGGGGGCUUCUUGUCUUUACUAAAUCAUAUUACUUUUUAUUCCCUUCUCAAUUUUAAUUUAAUUAUUUAAUUAAACUUUAUUGUCCUCAUUAGCAAAAAAAAUUAAACUUUUCUCCCUUGUCUUUUAGCACACCUCAUAUUCCCUAUACUUUUAUUCCAUUAUUAUUAUAUAAGCUUUCUUUGAUCAAGUUCAUGUGGUUAUUAUCAUUUUAUUUUAUUUUUAUUUUUUUUACUUUAUUUUUUGAGGACAAAGAUUGGGAAUUUUACUUUUCUAAGAAAAAAUAACUUUAUGAAAGUGACUUUAUUCAACAUUGGUCCCAUAAUUAAAUUUAAAGUUGUUAUAAUUUUUGGGAUUAAGAGAAAAUUACAAUUUUUUUUUAUCUAUAAUACGACCUCAUGCACUACCCGUUAUUCUAGAACUAAUUAGUGUCAGGAAAAGCAUAAACCCUAGUUUUAUAGCACAUUUAUUCAGUACGCACAAUCGCCCACGAUAUUCGAUAGUUGACCGUCCAUACCCGAAAUCUCUCCCACAUAAAUAAUUGCUGUCAGACUCAGACUGACCACCUUACAAUAAUAUAUAUAUAUAUAUAUAUAUAUAUAUAUAUAUAUAUAUAUAUAUAUAUAUAUAUAUAUAUAUAUAUAUAUAUAUAUAUAUAUAUGAUUCUUAUAUACAUAAUGAAAGCAUUGAAAAAUUUAAUUGCGUGACGAUUGAAAUGAAUCUAAUUUGUUUGAUAGUAUUCAUUCCCAUCAUGAACGUAUAGAACUUGUAAUAUAGAGAUGUGACAUGUAAACGUCCCAUUAUAUUAUUGUCGACCAAUUUUGGUCAUUAUUUCAUAAUCACACGACAGUUGCCACGUCAUCAAUUAUUGUGCCCAAUAUAAAAUAUUUUCCAACUAAAUUCUCAAUCAAUUGAUACUUUAUCUCGUAAAUUUAGAUUGCGUAUAUCAUUCAUUUCAUUUAUUUACCUAAGCUAUAUUGUCGAUUUAUAUCAAUAUGUGUAUUCAAAUACCAAAUUGAAUUAAUAAUAUUAUAGGAUUAGAUUUUGACUUGUUAUGCCUCGUUCGAAUUACACAUGAUCUUGUAGGAUUCACGUGAAAAAUCUACCAAGAUAAAUUCCCCCGUGAUCCAAUGACUGUUGUGCACGUGACUUAUUGGGAAUGUUUAUGAAUUCUUUAUUUUUAUUUAUUGGGCAAAUUGCAGAUAAACUAACCAACAUAUAAAUCCAUGUGGUAGUGGUAAUUAUAAAUACCCCGUAAAAAUAUCAACCCUAACGGAAUGAAGGAAUUGUCUAAAUUACUCUUUUAUUAAACAAACAAAAUUUGGAUAAAUUACGAGUAUCCCCUCAGGUAAGAUAAAAUAUUACAUUUAUAACCUGUGGGUGGGUGUAUUACAUUUAUCCUCAUGGGGGUAGAUCUGGAAAGUCAUAUCGAAUAUUUUAUGGAAUCUUUAAGAUUCUGUUACUCAUAGCUUUGUACGGGUGUAACUGUUAGACGAAGCAAUAUCUGAGGGGGUAUUUGUAAAUUACCGAUACCACAUGAGUGUGUAAGUUAUUUGGUCAUACCUCAGAGGUCCCCGUAAUUAUAUCUCUUUUUUUGUUUUAUUUCCAUAUUAAAGAAAGAAAGGUAAAAUGAACAAGAAAAAUGUGAAAAAAUCGACUGUUGAUUGUGGAUACUGAAAAGUUAGAUGUCGUUUUAAUUUAUUUUUCUUUUUCUCCUUUCUUUUAUUUAUUAUUAUUAUUAUUAUUGUUGUUGUUGUUGUUGUUGUUGUUGUUGUUGUUGUUGUUGUUGUUGUUGUUGUUGUUGUUGUUGUUGUUGUUGUUGUUGUGAUUUUGUGUGGUUAAAUAAUUUGGCAUGUGCCUAUGUGGUGUUAUAAGCUUGUAUGAGUUAUGACCAUACUUUGGGCCUGGGCCCACAACUUUGCCUCUGUAGUUUUGUAUGCUCGUAUGGGCCUAUAGUUUGGGCUUGGGCCAAGUUUUUUUUUUAAAUCGUUUCUUCGUUAAAAAUAAACUAUUGUUUCUAAAUGAUGCCACAUAAUCUAUAAGAGUGAACGUAUCGGAAGAUUCAUAAUCGAUGGAUAGUUGUAAUUACUCAAAGAGAAAAGGGUAUUUUCGUAACUUGACCUUAAUAAAGGGGUGACCGUAAUUUAUCCUAUAAUAAAUAUAUAUAAAAUUUGAAAAACUAAAUUUCAGUUCAUUUAUAAUUAUUUAUUAGAAUAUAAGUACUAUAAUAAUAAUAAUAAUAACAAUAAUAAUAAUAAUAAUAAAGAAAAAAACUAAAAAAUAUACUUUGAUGCUUGAGCAGCUUCCACUUGUAGUAAUUUUCCCUCUCCUUUUCUGCUGUAUAUUUCUGGGAAAUGGUGUGUGUAGGUUAGGGCUUUUGUAAUCCAGCAAGUGUGUUGCACGCGCCAGAGCUUCCCCCAAAUUGAAGAUGAAGCUGAAGCAGUUAGAGAGCCUUCUCGGCUCUCUUCAACAGUUCGAUAACCCCAAGGUCUUUCUCUCUCUCUCUAACCCUCAAUUCAAUAUUUUCUCCGAAGAAUAUUCGACGCCCAUUUGCGUCUGUUUAUUCGUUUGAUUUGUACAUAGAUUAUGCUGUCUGAUAAACCCUAAUAUGGCAAUCCUCUUAUGGCGAAACAGAUUGAAUUGGAACAAUAUCCAACCGGACCCCACAUCGCAUCUCGAUUGCUCUACACUGUAAUAAUUAUCCCAUUUUCAAAAUCUCUGAUUUUUCCCUAAUUUGAUAUUAAUGUACAGUACUUGUGUUGUAUGUGUGCACUUAAAGAAUCUAUCUUUAGCAUAAAUUCAGGCAGAGAAUUCAUUCGGGGAUGUGACGGAUAAAGUCGUGGCCGAUUUCGGUUGUGGCUGCGGUACACUGGGAUUGGCUGCUGCUCUUUUGGGUGCAGAGUUAGUAAAAUCGUCUUCUCUUUUAUUUUUAUUUAUUUUGCCCUUUUUUUUCCAAAUAUGCUGUAGGAUGAAUUUUUUAUUUUAAAAUAUGAUGUAAUUUGGUAGUGGUUGUUGAAGCUCAUGUUGUUAUUGACUCAGGCAUGUUAUUGGAUUUGAUAUCGACGCGGAAUCUAUCGAAAUUGCAUACUCUAAUGCAGAUGAACUAGAGGUACUUUUUGAUGUGUAUGUAUCCUGAUAGUUGUACAUGAUUAGUGGUUACGCUUUUCUGUUUAUUUUGCUUAUUCGGUGAAGAUGUGAGUUAUGGUAUAGUUGGAUUUCACCAAAGUUCUGGCUGUUUUCGUGUUUUUUUUUUUUUUUUUUUUUUUUUUUUUCAAUUUCAAGUGUGCCUUAACCUGUAGUCAACGUUUAUAUACCUUGAUGUACUUUUUUAUUGCAUAAUAAUUUGAUUUUUUUCGUUUUAACUUUUUUACCUUUCUUUAUGAAUUAAAAACUUGCAGUUAGACAUGGAUUUCGUUCAAUGUGAUAUCAGGAACUUAGGGCUGUCAGGUAGUUCUUCUGCACCGACACUCUCAAUUUAAAGCAUACAUUGAUUAAAUCUAUGAUGAAAUAUGACUGCUUUUGUCCUAUGCGUAGAUAGAAAUAUUGAUACCGUUGUAAUGAAUCCUCCAUUUGGAACGAGGAAGAAAGGAGCUGACAUGGAAUUUCUAUCCGUGGCUUUAAAGGUACAGACAGCCAUGAACUACAUUAUUUUUGUUCGUGCUGUUUUAUUGAACGUAAAAUAUGCAAUUCUGCUUCUUGCGUUUUUAUCUUAUUUGUCGGAAAAAUCGUAUGUCAGGUUGCUUCUCAGGCAGUUUAUUCUUUGCAUAAGACCACAACAAGAGAUGUAAGUGUUCUUAAUCUUGCUAAAUUAUUCUCGUUUUCUUGUUCAUAUUCGAUCUUGGAUAUUUCGGUCUGAAUUUUGUACUUAAAACAAGAUUAAAAUGAAAGUAAGUGCGAAUCUUGCUAAUAUAUUCACUAUUUCGUUGUUUCUUGAGUGCAGCACAUCAAAAGAACAGCUUUGAGAGACUAUAAUGCACGUAGUGCCGAAGUUGUAUGCGAGGUACAUAUUCUUGACCUAGUUUUUUCACUACACAAUAGUUUUAGCAUUAGUAGCAGAAAUGGCUCGAUACAAACUUACGAGUUUUUUUUUUACGAAAAAUUAAUUAUCGUUUCCUUUUUCUCUAGCUUCGGUUUGAUGUGCCCCAACUCUACAAAUUUCACAAGAAAAAGGAAGUUGACGUGGCUGUGGAUCUCUGGCGAUUCGUUCCGAAAACCGAUAGAUCAAAGGAUUCGUAGCUUUGUGUAUUUGAGCUUCUUUCACAACUUUGAAAAAAAAUUGCAAUGUGCACUUUUGUAUUGUAAGAGAAAAUUGAUUUUCUCACUACUCAUCCAGAUUAUAUUUAUGAUAUUUAGAAACAAAUGUGAGCAUAUAUAAUAUGUAUAAUUAUAUAUAUCCGAUUUAUACGACCAUAUGCAUCGGCUAAAUGUAAAAUUUCGAAACGAAUCUCUACAAAACUGUGAUCAAUAUUACACCAAAACAUAACCUUCCAAACAAAAAAAAAAAAAAAGAAAAACAGAUUGCCUUGUACAGAACAAAAAUUGUUUUGAUAUUUUUUUUUUUACCUCAACUGCAACUCAAGACUUCAAUUCCCGAUUUCUCACUCGCCGAGUGUGAACCGAACAAAUCGCCUAACCUUAAUAUUCUCACCGAGCGAAGCAACUGUCUGCUUAACCAAAUCCUUAACAGACAAACCAUCAUCCUUAAUAAAAGGCUGCUCUAACAGAGCAAUCUCUCCAAGCCUCUUCGCAAUCCUGCCUUCGACAAUCUUCUCUCGUAUAUUCUCCGGCUUCGACUGAAGAUCCUCUCUCUGCAUCUCCAACUGUUUCUCUCUCUCAAUGGAACUUUCCGGAAUGUCUUCAAUGGAAACGUACUGCACCUGUGGGCAUGCAGCCACUUGCAUGGCUAUGUCGUCCACUAGUUCUUUGAAGUUUUGACUUCUACCCACAAAGUCGGUCUCGCAGUUGACUUCGAUUAGGACCCCGAUUCGAGAGUCGUGUAUGUAUGUUCCGAUUCUGCCCUCGGCUGCUAAUCUGCUUGAUUUUUUGUCGGCGCUUGAGAGGCCCUUCUUUCGGAGGUACUCUUGUGCUUUUACUAUGUCGCCCCCUGUUUCGGAGAGGGCUUUCUUGCAGUCCAUCAUUCCUGCUCCGGUUUCUUCCCGCAGUUGUUUUACGAGUGCGGCGGAAACUGGUGCUUUUGUGGGCCUGUGUACAAUAUUCAGACAUUACAAAAAAUUGCAAAAAAAGAUCAAAUAAACAAGUUUUUGGGAAAAAAAAUGGAAUUUUUGAAAAAAAUUGGAAACUAAAAUGAGAUCGAAAAAAUCGGAUUUUCCGAUAAUAUUUGUAUACUUCCCAUUUUCCAGUCGAAAAACUUCCGAAAGAAUCAGAAACCGCCAAUAUCAGAAAUCAGAAUCAAAAAAUCGAUUGUUCAAAAAAAAUAUAUAUCGAAAUCAGAAACAGCAGAAUUUGAAAAUGCAGCUCCAAUUUCCACACACAGUCUUCGUCAAUAAAGAAUAAACUACUUACGUAAAUAUAUACGUAUAUGUAUAUAUAUAGUUCAGUCGGGCAUAUAUAUACUUACUUUUCGACAGCUUCCUCAGUUUCAGCAGCAACAGCCGCCUCUUGUUCCACAGGUGCAGCAGGAGGAGCCGCCGCCGCUCUAGCGGCAGUCUGAGCGGCAACCUCCGCCGCGAAAUCCGUACUCUUCUUCUCCAAACCCUCCCCCAAAUUAAACCUCACGAACCUCUUCACCUUAAUAUUCUCCCCGACAGUCGAAAUCGUCUGCUUCACCCAAUCCUUAACCGCCACCUUGUCGUCUCUAAUAAAAGGCUGCUCCAUCAAACAAACUUCCUCGACACUCUUCUUUAAUCUCCCUUCCACAAUCUUCUCCCUAAUUUGCUCGGGCUUCGACAAAAGAUCCUCCUUCUGCAUCUCGAUUUCUCUCUCCUUAUCCAUUAUCUCUUUCGGAAAAUCUUCUGUAUUGAGGUACUUCACCUGCGGGCAUGCGGCGACUUGCAUAGCUAAAUCUUGGACGAGUUCCUUGAAUAUGUCGCCUCGCGCGACGAAAUCCGUCUCGCAGUUGACCUCGAUCAGGACGCCGAUGCGGCUGUCGUGUAUGUAGGAACCGACUCUGCCUUCGGCUGUGGCUCUGCUCGAUUUCUUGUCUGCGCUCGCUAGGCCUUUCUUUCGGAGAUACUCCUGUGCUUUUACUAUGUCGCCCCCGGUUUCCGAUAGGGCUUUCUUGCAGUCCAUCAUUCCUGCCCCACUUUCUUCUCGCAACUGCUUUACGAGAGCUGGCGGUAUUGUGGCGGUAGCAGCUGCAAUAUUUAGGUCUAGGUGGAUCAGAAAUAACAGCCUUUCGUAUAUGUUCUUGUUUUCUGCUUUUUUUUUUUUUUGUUAUGAAAAUGAAGUGUUCACGAUUUUGCAAUCUAUUUUCAUUACUUUUAAAUCUUGAUUUUUCGGUUAUCGUGUAGAUAUUUUUCUUAUUUUUACGGCAUUUUGGUAAUUUAAGUGUUUUUUGCAGGUAAAUAAUGUAUGAAUGAAUGCUUAAAAAGUAGAUGACUCAGAAGCAAAGAUUAAUGAAAAGUUAUUCGAUUAAUCAACCUACGAAAGCAAUGAACUACCAAACUACAAAUCAACAAGAGAUAAACAACAAAGUUUUUUGGAGCCGCGUUUCGGAAAUGUUUCUCUAGCAAAAAAAAAAAGAUUAAUUUUUUUUUUCCCUACAAAUACAAAUCAUAUUGAAGAACCUGUGGUUGCGGUCUCGAUAACCGGCGAAUCAACUUCAGCACUCGAGCUUCCGUUGCUGCCACCAUCCUCAGAAAUAGUUGCAGAAGUUUCUUUUUCCUCACUCGAUUCUGUUACAUCAUCGGCUAUCUUUUCAACAACUUCUUCCACAGUUUCAGACAACACUGUCUCGUUCGUUAUUUCUUCAGACAACUCCGAUUCAGCCUCGUUUAGUAUUGCCACAUCAGCUUCCCCCUCGAUAGCUUCUUCACCACUCUCGGACAAAGAUACCUGAUUAGCUACUUCUUCAGACACCACAGAUUCACCCUCAUUUAGUAUCGCCACAUCAGCUUCCUUCUCGACAACUUCUUCACCGCUCUCAGCCAAUAUUGUCUGAUCAGCUACUUCUUCAGACAACUCAGGUUCACCCUCGUUUAUUAUUGCCACAUCAGCUUCCGCCUCGACAACUUCUUCACCGCUCUCAGACAAUACUGUCUGAUCAGCUACUUCUUCAGCCAACUCAGGUUCACCCUCGUUUAUUAUUGCCACAUCAGCUUCCUUCUCGAUGACAUCAUCACUCACCACUACAGAGGCUGCCGCCUCUAUUCCCUGUACCUCUUCUUUCUUGUCUUCAAUCGAUUCAUCAU
rnacentral:lncRNA from 1 species